UUUGAAUACUCUCUUCUCUCAAAAUACCCUCGAAGGUUCUCCAGAACCUCAAUCGUCUUCGGCCCUUUUUUCCAUCGUACUUUUACCGGAAUACAUGACUUCUCAGGCUACAGAUGGUCUGUACUCACGCAUCUCCAUCAUUAAACCCUGAGUGGACGAAGUUUUGAGCUCUGACCUUGGUGAUUUUCUUUCAUAUCUUCUCAUAUCAAUG
rnacentral:lncRNA from 1 species